rnacentral:rRNA from 1 species
AACGAACGCUGGCGGCAUGCCUAACACAUGCAAGUCGAACGAAGCCUUCGGGCUUAGUGGCGCACGGGUGCGUAACGCGUGGGAAUCUGCCCCUUGCUUCGGAAUAACAGUUAGAAAUGCCUGCUAAUACCGGAUGAAGUCUUCGGACCAAAGAUUUAUCGGCAAGGGAUGAGCCCGCGUAGGAUUAGGUAGUUGGUGGGGUAAAGGCCUACCAAGCCGACGAUCCUUAGCUGGUCUGAGAGGAUGAUCAGCCACACUGGGACUGAGACACGGCCCAGACUCCUACGGGAGGCAGCAGUGGGGAAUAUUGGACAAUGGACGCAAGUCUGAUCCAGCAAUGCCGCGUGAGUGAUGAAGGCCUUAGGGUUGUAAAGCUCUUUUACCAGGGAUGAUAAUGACAGUACCUGGAGAAUAAGCUCCGGCUAACUCCGUG